ACAUGUCUACCACUAGGAUUUGGACUUCUUGAACAAUAUGUGAAUGCAGUGCUGCUUCCAUUUUCAAAUUUCAAGUACCAGUGUACGAAACCUGGAACAGUUUUUUGUUUUUUUCCUUUCCCAAAAUUAAAACUGUUACUGCUUCUCUAUUUAAAAAAACCAAAACCAAGUGAAAAACGUGGUGCGUCGCCUUACCCUCCGCAUAGCAUAAAAUUAAUCUCGAUGUAUGUUCACCUUCAGAUACUAUAUAGUGGGUGCAUUAAGGUGAAUUGCUUUGUCAUUGCUAUGUUGAUAUUGUAGACAGAUCCCUGUAAUUGAUUACUUUGCCAGUUUUAGACCCUGGGCCUGAAAAUUUUCUUCUCAGUGCCUGAGUGAACAUAUGCCUGGUAUCCAUUACAGCCAUGCCAAUGAGUAGCCAGCUUGAUUUUCACUGCUCAAAUCUUUUGGCAGCUGUCUAUUUCUCUGCAAAAUAGAUUGUGUUUGUGUUGAAUGGCAUGACCAUGAUAGUUCCAGGGAUAUCAUGUUUUAAAACUCCUUUAGACUACUUGACACAGGGCAUUCUUGCUUCCUUUGUGCCGUGGUGAUUACUCAUAGUGUUUGCAGCUUUCCUUAAUUGCAGAUGGCGCCACCAGAAAGAUCCAAAUAUCAUACUCCAGUGGGACAUGGGAGACCUAACAACUUAUGUAACAUACUUUAUUUAGGUCUCCAGCCGGUCGCUUUGGCCCCUUUGGUCCUGGACGAGGUGAAGCUUUGGGCGCAGGCGGGCUUUCCUAGAAUCGGGUCGCUGCUAGAUCCUUUUGCGGAUGCAGUGCUUUUUUUCUUUCAGUGGUCUGUUGUAUUUUUGUUUUCUUUCCUUUCUAUGUGCUCUUCGUCUGUAACAAACAUUUGUGCUUCUCUUCUACUUAAUGAAAACGUGCUUUGCACGUUCUCAAAAAAA
rnacentral:lncRNA from 1 species